GUCCACGCCGUAAACGAUGUCGACUAGCCGUCGGGCUCACUAUUGAGAGUUUGGUGGCGUAGCUAACGCGAUAAGUCGACCGCCUGGGGAUUACGGCCGCAAGGUUAAAACUCAAAGGAAUUGACGGGGCCCGCACAAGCGGUGGAGCAUGUGGAUUAAUUCGAUGCAACGCGAAGAACCUUACCAAGGCUUGACAUAUACCGGAAACACCCAGAGAUGGGUGCCCCGCAAGGUCGGUAUACAGGUGGUGCAUGGUUGUCGU
rnacentral:rRNA from 1 species